rnacentral:tRNA from 1 species
GCCGACUUAGCUCAGUUGGUAGAGCAACGCACUUGUAAUGCGUAGGUCGCCAGUUCGAACCCGGCAGUCGGCACCA